rnacentral:rRNA from 1 species
GACGAACGCUGGCGGCGUGCCUAAUACAUGCAAGUUGAGCGAUGAAGAUUGGUGCUUGCACCAAUUUGAAGAGCAGCGAACGGGUGAGUAACGCGUGGGGAAUCUGCCUUUGAGCGGGGGACAACAUUUGGAAACGAAUGCUAAUACCGCAUAACAACUUUAAACAUAAGUUUUAAGUUUGAAAGAUGCAAUUGCAUCACUCAAAGAUGAUCCCGCGUUGUAUUAGCUAGUUGGUGAGGUAAAGGCUCACCAAGGCGAUGAUACAUAGCCGACCUGAGAGGGUGAUCGGCCACAUUGGGACUGAGACACGGCCCAAACUCCUACGGGAGGCAGCAGUAGGGAAUCUUCGGCAAUGGACGAAAGUCUGACCGAGCAACGCCGCGUGAGUGAAGAAGGUUUUCGGAUCGUAAAACUCUGUUGGUAGAGAAGAACGUUGGUGAGAGUGGAAAGCUCAUCAAGUGACGGUAACUACCUAGAAAGGGACGGCUAACUACGUG